GACGAACCGUGCGAACGUUGUUCGGAAUCACUGGGCUUAAAGGGCGCGUAGGCGGGCUGUCCAGUCUGGGGUGAAAUCCCGCGGCUCAACCGUGGAACUGCCUUUGAUACUGCAAAUCUCGAGUCCGGAAGAGGUGAGUGGAAUUCCUAGUGUAGAGGUGAAAUUCGUAGAUAUUAGGAAGAACACCAGUGGCGAAGGCGGCUCACUGGCCCGGUACUGACGCUGAGGUGCGAAAGCGUGGGGAGCAAACAGG
rnacentral:rRNA from 1 species